AUGAGAUAAAUCAAUGUUUGGACAUGCAAUUUCACACUGAUUUCAUCUCAUGA
rnacentral:pre_miRNA from 1 species